AGAAUUUAGCAGAGAUGCUUUAGUGCCUUCGGGAACUCUGAGACAGGUGCUGCAUGGCUGUCGUCAGCUCGUGUUGUGAAAUGUUGGGUUAAGUCCCGCAACGAGCCGCAACCCCUAUCCUUUGUUGCCAGCGAUUCGGUCGGGAACUCAAAGGAGACUGCCGGUGAUAAACCGGAGGAAGGUGGGGAUGACGUCAAGUCAUCAUGGCCCUUACGAGUAGGGCUACACACGUGCUGCAAUGGCGCAUACAAAGAGAAGCGACCUCGCGAGAGCAAGCGGACCUCAUAAAGUGCGUCGUAGUCCGGAUUGGAGUCUGCAACUCGACUCCAUGAAGUCGGAAUCGCUAGUAAUCGUAGAUCAGAAUGCUACGGUGAAUACGUUCCCGGGCCUUGUACACACCGCCCGUCACACCAUGGGAGUGGGUUGCAAAAGAAGUAGAUAGCUUAACCUUCGGGAGGGCGUUUACCACUUUGUGAUUCAUGACUGGGGUGAAGUCGUAACAAGGUAAGCGUAGCGAG
rnacentral:rRNA from 1 species